UACAGAGGGGGCGAGCGUUGUUCGGAAUUACUGGGCGUAAAGGGCUCGUAGGCGGCCAACUAAGUCGGAUGUGAAAUCCCCAGGCUUAACCUGGGAACUGCAUCCGAUACUGGAUGGCUUGAAUCCGGGAGAGGGAUGCGGAAUUCCAGGUGUAGCGGUGAAAUGCGCAGAUAUCAGGAGGAACACCUAUGGCGAAGGCAGCUUGCUGGGACGACACUGACGCUGAGACGCGAAAGCGUGGGGAGCAAACAGG
rnacentral:rRNA from 1 species